UACGGGGGGAGCAAGCGUUGUUCGGAUUUACUGGGCGUAAAGGGCGCGUAGGCGGUCGUGACAAGUCACUUGUGAAAUCUCCGGGCUUAACUCGGAACGGUCAGGUGAUACUGCUUUGCUAGAGUGCGGAAGGGGCAAUCGGAAUUCUUGGUGUAGCGGUGAAAUGCGUAGAUAUCAAGAGGAACACCUGAGGUGAAGACGGGUUGCUGGGCCGACACUGACGCUGACAGCGCGAAAGCCAGGGGAGCAAACGGG
rnacentral:rRNA from 1 species